rnacentral:rRNA from 1 species
CCUACGGGCGACAGCAGUGAGGAAUAUUGGUCAAUGGACGAGAGUCUGAACCAGCCAAGUAGCGUGAAGGAUGACUGCCCUAUGGGUUGUAAACUUCUUUUAUAUGGGAAUAAAAUGUUCCACGUGUGGGAUUUUGUAUGUACCAUAUGAAUAAGGAUCGGCUAACUCCGUGCCAGCAGCCGCGGUAAUACGGAGGAUCCGAGCGUUAUCCGGAUUUAUUGGGUUUAAAGGGAGCGUAGGUGGAUUGUUAAGUCAGUUGUGAAAGUUUGCGGCUCAACCGUAAAAUUGCAGUUGAAACUGGCAGUCUUGAGUACAGUAGCGGUGGGCGGAAUUCGUGGUGUAGCGGUGAAAUGCUUAGAUAUCACGAAGAACUCCGAUUGCGAAGGCAGUUCACUGGACUGCAACUGACACUGAGGCUCGAAAGUGUGGGUAUCAAACAGGAUUAGAUACCCUAGUAGUC